AACGAACGCUGGCGGCAGGCUUAACACAUGCAAGUCGAACGCACCGCAAGGUGAGUGGCAGACGGGUGAGUAACACGUGGGGAUCUGCCCAAUGGUACGGAAUAGCUCCGGGAAACUGGAAUUAAUACCGUAUGAGCCCGCAAGGGGAAAGAUUUAUCGCCAUUGGAUGAACCCGCGUCGGAUUAGCUAGUUGGUGUGGUAAAGGCGCACCAAGGCGACGAUCCGUAGCUGGUCUGAGAGGAUGAUCAGCCACACUGGGACUGUGACACGGCCCAGACUCCUACGGGAGGCAGCAGUGGGGAAUCUUGGACAAUGGGCGCAAGCCUGAUCCAGCCAUGCCGCGUGAGUGAAGAAGGCCUUAGGGUUGUAAAGCUCUUUUGGCAGGGACGAUAAUGACGGUACCUGCAGAAUAAGCCCCGGCAAACUUCGUGCCAGCCGCCGCGGUAAUAC
rnacentral:rRNA from 1 species